rnacentral:lncRNA from 1 species
GCUCUCAAGCUGGCCUGCUGAAAUUCCUGAGUUCCAUUUAUAGUACUUUAAGUUUUAUUCUAUUGCUGGCUAUCCAGUGCCUUCUAGUGUUUCUUGUGGGUGUUGCCGUAAUUGUAGGAAUGAUCCAGGUUCUGGGCUGGUUGGGAGUCCUAGUCAUUAGCUGACAUUAGACAUUUCCAUGGAGUGGAAACUUAAGUCUCACUCAGGAAGAUUUAGGCUAGAAGGAUUUGUGAGAAACCAGGUUCUACCAUUUUCCAAUUCCAGCUUCUCAAAACAGAGUUUCCUACCCUUUCCACCUUCAUGCCUAAUCUGUCCAUCUCUACCCUCUCACCACACACAGAAGGCGGAAAUCUUAACUCAAAUGAUCAGAGCUUGUUGACUGUUACCAUGAAUGACCUAAGGGGGGAACUUACAGUGUUGCUAUUUGGAGUAAUUGAGUAUUUCAAGGCACGAAUAUCCAAUUCGAGAGUGAAAGAGGUGGUCAAGAUAAGAAGGAAACAUGGUCAAGGUGCUCAGCCUUCUUUAUGGUCUGACUCUUCCAUCCAUACAUGAUUACUGGAAAAACCAUAGCUCUGACUCUACGGUCCUUUGUUGGCAAAGUGAUGCCUCUGAUUUUUAACACACCGUCUAGGUUUGUCAUAGCUUUUCUUCCAAGGAGCAAGUUUUUUUUUUUUGUUUGUUUGUUUGUUUGUUUGUUUUUUAAUUUCAUGGCGGCAUCCCCAUCCUCAGUGAUUUUGGAGCCCAAGAAAAUGAAAUCUUUUACUGUUCCCCAUUGUUUCCCCAUCUAUAUGCCAUGAAGUGAUGGGACUAGAUCUUUGUUUUUUGCAUGUUGAGUUUUAAGCCAGCUUUUUCACUCUCCUCUUUUGCCUUCAUCAAGAGGCUCUUUAGUUCCUCUUCACUUUCUGCAAUAAGGAUGGUGUCAUCUCCAUAUCUGAGGUUAUUGAUAUUUCUCCCAGCAAUCUUGAUUCCAGCUUGUGCUUCAUCCAGCCUGGCAUUUUGCAUGAUGUACUCUGCAUAUAAAUUAAAUAAACAGAGUGACAGUAGACAGCCUUGACGUACCCAAUUUUGAACCAGUCUAUUCCACAUUUGGUUCUGAAUGCUGCUUCUUGAUUUGCAUCCAGGUUUCCAGGAGGCAGGUAAAGUGGUGUUGUAGUCCCAUCUCUUUAAGAAUGUUCCACAGUUUGUUGUGAUCCACACAGUCAAAGGCUUUAGUGUAGUCAACGAAGCAGUUUCCGCUCCCACCCCCUCUGGAAUUCUCUGGCUUUUUCUGUGAUCCAGUGGAUGUUGUCAAUUUGAUUUCUGAUUUCUCCGCCUUUUCUAAAUCCAGCUUCACCAUCUGGAAGUUCUCAGUUCACAUACUGUUGAAGCCUAGCUUGGAGGAUUUUGAAUAUGACCUUGAGCAUGUGAAAUGAUUGCAAUUGUGUGCAUGAUUACAAAGCAAUUCAUUGGAGUGUUAGGCAUCAAACUCUGCUCUUUCAAACUUUAAGU